GACAGAGGGUGCAAACGUUGUCCGGAUUUAUUGGGCGUAAAGAGCGUGUAGGCGGCCAUGUAGGUCCGGUGUGAAAACUCGAGGCUUAACCUCGAGAUGUCAUCGGAAACCAUUUGGCUAGAGUCCGGAAGAGGAGAGUGGAAUUCCCGGUGUAGCGGUGAAAUGCGCAGAUAUCGGGAAGAACACCCAUGGCGAAGGCAGCUCUCUGGGACGGUACUGACGCUGAGACGCGAAAGCGUGGGGAGCGAACAGG
rnacentral:rRNA from 1 species